CAUUCGUGCCUGUAUUUUGCUGAGCCGUUUCCAAAAACUUCCGGUUGAGCAAAAUUUCAGGUGUGUGAGAAA
rnacentral:pre_miRNA from 1 species